UACGGAGGGUGCAAGCAUUAAUCGGAUUUAUUGGGCGUAAAGGGCGCGUAGGCGGAGAGAUAAGUCAGAUGUGAAAUCCCGGGGCUCAACCCCGGAACAGCAUUUGAAACUAUCUUCCUUGAGGGUAGGCGGAGAAAACGGAAUUCCACAAGUAGCGGUGAAAUGCGUAGAUAUGUGGAAGAACACCUGUGGCGAAAGCGGUUUUCUAGCUUAUACCUGACGCUGAGGCGCGAAAGCAAGGGGAGCAAACAGG
rnacentral:rRNA from 1 species